rnacentral:rRNA from 1 species
UACGUAGGGCGCAAGCGUUAUCCGGAAUUAUUGGGCGUAAAGAGCUCGUAGGCGGUUUGUCGCGUCGGCUGUGAAAUCCCGAGGCUCAACCUCGGGUCUGCAGUCGAUACGGGCGGACUGGAGUUCGGCAGGGGAGACUGGAAUUCCUGGUGUAGCGGUGAAAUGCGCAGAUAUCAGGAGGAACACCGGUGGCGAAGGCGGGUCUCUGGGCCGAUACUGACGCUGAGGAGCGAAAGCGUGGGGAGCGAACAGG